rnacentral:misc_RNA from 1 species
AACGUAGGACGCGAACGUUAUCCGGAGUUACUGGGCGUAAAGCGCGAGCAGGCGGUUGAAUAAGUUACCUAUGAAAGCUCUGGGCUAAACUUGGAGAGGAUAGGUGAUACUGUUUGACUAGAGUGAGGAAGAGGGAAGUAGAAUUCCGGGUGUAGUGGUGAAAUGCGUAGAUAUCCGGAGGAAUACCAGUGGCGAAGGCGGCUUCCUGGUUCUCAACUGACGCUGAGACGCGAAAGCGUGGGUAGCGAACGGG